rnacentral:rRNA from 1 species
GAUGAACGCUGGCGGCGUGCCUAACACAUGCAAGUCGAGCGGAAAGACGAGGAGCGUGCUCUUCUGACGUUAGCGGCGGGCGAGUGAGUAACACGUAGAUAACCUACCUAUAAGAGUGGGAUAACUUCGGGAGAGCGGAGCUCAUACUGGAAAAUAUAUUGAAACGCAUGGGUCAGUAGUGAUUGAGGGUUUUGCGGUGGCUUAUAGAUGGAUCCGCGCCGCAGUAGCGAGUUGGUAAGGUAACGGCUUACCAAGGCAACGAUGCGUAGCCGACCUGAGAGGGGGAUCGGCGCCACUGGAGCUGAGCCGCGGUCCAGACUCCUACGGGAGGCAGAGGUAGGGAAUCUUCGCAGAAGGGCGGAAGCCUGACGGAGCGACGCCGCGCGAGUGAUGAAGGGCUGCGGAUCGUAAAACUCUGUUAUUAGGGAAGAACAAAUUUGUAAGUAACUAUGCACGUCUUGACGGUACCUAAUCAGAAAGCCACGGCUAACUACGUG